UUCUUGGAGAGUUUGAUCCUGGCUCAGGACGAACGCUGGCGGCGUGCCUAAUACAUGCAAGUCGAGCGGACUUGA
rnacentral:rRNA from 1 species